rnacentral:rRNA from 1 species
GGGCGUAAGAGCUCGUAGGCGGUUUGUCGCGUCUGCUGUGAAAUCCCGAGGCUCAACCUCGGGCCUGCAGUGGGUACGGGCAGACUAGAGUGCGGUAGGGGAGAUUGGAAUUCCUGGUGUAGCGGUGGAAUGCGCAGAUAUCAGGAGGAACACCGAUGGCGAAGGCAGAUCUCUGGGCCGUAACUGACGCUGAGGAGCGAAAGGGUGGGGAGCAAACAGCUUAGAUACCCUGGUAGUCCACCCCGUAAACGUUGGGAACUAGUUGUGGGGACCAUUCCACGGUUUCCGUGACGCAGCUAACGCAUUAAGUUCCCCGCCUGGGGAGUACGGCCGCAAGGCUAAAACUCAAAGGAAUUGACGGGGACCCGCACAAGCGGCGGAGCAUGCGGAUUAAUUCGAUGCAACGCGAAAAACCUUACCAAGGCUUGACAUACACCAGAACGGGCCAGAAAUGGUCAACUCUUUGGACACUGGUGAACAGGUGGUGCAUGGUUGUCGUCAGCUCGUGUCGUGAGAUGUUGGGUUAAGUCCCGCAACGAGCGCAACCCUCGUUCUAUGUUGCCAGCACGUAAUGGUGGGAACUCAUGGGAUACUGCCGGGGUCAACUCGGAGGAAGGUGGGGAUGACGUCAAAUCAUCAUGCCCCUUAUGUCUUGGGCUUCACGCAUGCUACAAUGGCCGGUACAAAGGGCUGCAAUACCGUGAGGUGGAGCGAAUCCCAAAAAGCCGGUCCCAGUUCGGAUUGAGGUCUGCAACUCGACCUCAUGAAGUCGGAGUCGCUAGUAAUCGCAGAUCAGCAACGCUGCGGUGAAUACGUUCCCGGGUCUUGUACACACCGCCCGUCAAGUCAUGAAAGUCGGUAACACCUGAAGCCGGUGGCCCAACCCUUGUGGAGGGAGCCGUCGAAGGUGGGAUCGGUAAUUAGGACUAAGUCGUAACAAGGUAGCCGUACCGGAAGGUGCGGCUGGAACACCUCCUUCUAGACUGCAGAAA